rnacentral:rRNA from 1 species
UAUGUCCUACGGGACGCAGCAGUGAGGAAUAUUGGUCAAUGGCCGAGAGGCUGAACCAGCCAAGUCGCGUGAGGGAAGAAUGUCCUAUGGAUUGUAAGCCUCUUUUGUCAGGGAGCAAAGUCACCCACGUGUGGGUGUUGGAGAGUACCUGAAGAAAAAGCAUCGGCUAACUCCGUGCCAGCAGCCGCGGUAAUACGGAGGAUGCGAGCGUUAUCCGGAUUUAUUGGGUUUAAAGGGUGCGCAGGCGGAAGAUCAAGUCAGCGGUAAAAUUGAGAGGCUCAACCUCUUCGAGCCGUUGAAACUGG